CCCACCCCCAAUCUCUCAUCUCUCUCUCUCGGCUGGCCGGUGACACGCACUCCGGCACUCGACGCGACGGCGGCUCGGCCUUUCCGGCGAAGGUCCGGACAGCUUAACAGCAGCAGUAGUGCAACACGCACGGUUCAGUGCGAUUCUGCGCUGCACGAGCAGCACGACCUCCAUCCACCAUUCCUGCCGUUUCUUCUCGCCACCAGACACCUUUCUACCGUCGCCCACUGUCAUCUCCGUUCACUCUGCUCAUCUGGAUCGAGCUUGCUCCUCCGACUGCCAUCUCCCAGCCCACCGCGACAGCAGCAGCGACGCCGCGACGGCUCUGCCCUCCUCGACGCGACAGUAGCAGCAGUGCAGCAGGUUUUAUUUUCUAAAUUUUGGUUGUGGUUUCUGUUUUUUGUUGGAUUCAUGUCCAAAUAGAUAGAAAUCUUAGUUUCUGGUUUUUUUUGCUGCUAAUUCUGGUUGUUUGUUGGUUUUGGUUGUUUGUUUAAAAUUGCUGCAUUAUUGUUUUGCUGCUAAUUCUGCACUAAAUCUUAGUCUCAUGUUAGUGAUUGUUGUUGUUGUCUGCUGAACUUCAUUGAACUUCAUUGAACUUCAUUAGUCUCAUGUUUUGAAGUUAGUCUCAUGUUUUGAAGUUAGUCUCAUGUUGUUGUUGUUAGUCUCAUGUUUUGAAGUUAGCAUUAUUUGUUGCUGUCUGCUGAACUUCAUUGAACUUCAUUGCUGUUGUUGGUUGUGUGCAGUCCUUAACUUCAUUUAGAACAUAUAAAUGUGUCAAUUGCUCUAAAUCAAUCUAAUAAGGUUAACUCUUUCAGUUGAUAAUGGCAUUCUCCCCUCCUGAAGUCUCCUCAACAAUGCCCAAUGCAAUAAUAUCUCAAAACUCCAUUGACAAUCAACAUUCAACGGAUGAUCAUAUUGUUACAAAUACUGACAUUCAAGGUGGAAGUGGAGAUGGUGAAACAGGUGGAAGUGCAGAUGGUGAAACAGGUGGAAGUGCAGAUGGUGAAACAGGUGGGAGUGCAGAUGGUGAAACAGGAGGAGCAGAAGAUGAUUUGCACUUUCAGCCGAAGAAGAGACAAAAGACUUCGAAAGUUUGGUUGGAGUUCAAUGUAAUUGAUGCUGUCAAUAAAGCCGAGUGCAAGCAUUGCAAAUCUAGACUAUCGAUUUUGAAGAGCAAGAGU
rnacentral:lncRNA from 1 species